UGAAUGAGAACAAAGGCUAAGUUCGCCACGUCAAUAGCCAACGCCUUUGUAACCAACAUCCUGUUGG
rnacentral:sRNA from 1 species